AACGCGAAGAACCUUACCAAGGCUUGACAUACACGAGAACGGGCCAGAAAUGGUCAACUCUUUGGACACUCGUGAACAGGUGGUGCAUGGUUGUCGUCAGCUCGUGUCGUGAGAUGUUGGGUUAAGUCCCGCAACGAGCGCAACCCUCGUUCUAUGUUGCCAGCACGUAAUGGUGGGAACUCAUGGGAUACUGCCGGGGUCAACUCGGAGGAAGGUGGGGAUGACGUCAAAUCAUCAUGCCCCUUAUGUCUUGGGCUUCACGCAUGCUACAAUGGCCGGUACAAAGGGCUGCGAUACCGUAAGGUGGAGCGAAUCCCAAAAAGCCGGUCCCAGUUCGGAUUGAGGUCUGCAACUCGACCUCAUGAAGUCGGAGUCGCUAGUAAUCGCAGAUCAGCAACGCUGCGGUGAAUACGUUCCCGGGUCUUGUACACACCG
rnacentral:rRNA from 1 species